rnacentral:rRNA from 1 species
CAGUAGCCACGGUAAAACGAAGGGGGCUAGCGUUGUUCGGAAUUACUGGGCGUAAAGCGCACGUAGGCGGAUAUUUAAGUCAGGGGUGAAAUCCCAGAGCUCAACUCUGGAACUGCCUUUGAUACUGGGUAUCUUGAGUAUGGAAGAGGUUAGUGGAAUUGCGAGUGUAGAGGUGAAAUUCGUAGAUAUUCGCAGGAACACCAGUGGCGAAGGCGGCUAACUGGUCCAUAACUGACGCUGAGGUGCGAAAGCGUGGGGAGCAAACAGGAUUAGAUACCCGCGUAGUCCCUGUCUCUUAUAC